rnacentral:rRNA from 1 species
AGGGCGUAAGCGCGCGCAGGUGGUUUCUUAAGUCUGAUGUGAAAGCCCCCGGCUCAACCGGGGAAGGGCAUUGGAAACUGGGAGACUUGAGUGCAGAAGAGGAUGGUGGAAUUCCCUGUGUAGCGGUGAAAUGCGUAGAUAUAUGGAGGAACACCAGUGGCGAAGGCGACUUUCUGGACUGUUACUGACACUGAGGCGCGAAAGCGUGGGGAGCAAACAGGAUUAGAUACCCUGGUAGUCCACGCCGUAAACGAUGACUGCUAACCGUUGGAAUCCUUCCGACCUUUAUGGCUCAACUUACCCCUUUAAUUGAUCGGCCGGGGAAUACCGGCCCCAGGGUUGAACUUCAAUGAAUUUGACGGGGGCCCCACCAACCGUGGAACCUGGGGUUUUAUUUCAAACCACCCCAAAAACCCUUACCAGGCCUGGCCUGCCGAGGACUUUCCUAAAAUUGAUUGUUCUCCUCCGGAA